ACUGUGUCCCUGCAAUGUUACGAUCACCGUUCUCCGCAGAUUCAUGUAUAGUAACAGUGCAAUCUCUGUUUUAAACGUAGCAGACUUUUUUGGAGAAAUUGAUAAGCAGAUCUAAAAUUUAUACAGAAAUCAGGUCAACUAGAAUAGCCAAAACAAUGGAGUUCGAAGGAGUUACAUUGCCUAUUUUAAGACCUUGUAUAUAGCUAAAGUAAAGAAGAUUAGUAUUGCAGAAGGGACUGAACAGAUCAGUGGGUUGGAAUAGAAAUAGACCCAGAAAUAGACCCUCACACAUAAUCGACUAAUAGAUUUUCAGCAGAGAUCCCAAAAUAAUAAUUGAAGGCGGGGAGGAUUAUCUUACCAACAAAAGAUUCUGGCAACUUAGUGUUCAUGUGGGGGGAAAAAAGCUAACAUUGACUCUCAGAUCAUAUGUAAAAAAUUAAUUUGAAAUAGAUUGUAAUAGCUAAAACAACAAAGUUCUGGAGGAAAAUGCAAGUUAAAAUCUUUGUAACCUUAGAUAGGCAAAAAUGUCCUAGUACACAAAAAGCAUGAACCACAAAAGAAAAAGUUGAUAAAUGGGAUCUCAGCAAAAUUGAAAAUAGCAAGCCACAUACUCUGGAAAAACGUGCAAUAUAGGUAUAUGACAAAGGACUUACACCUAGAAUAAGU